UACGUAGGUGGCAAGCGUUGUCCGGAAUUAUUGGGCGUAAAGCGCGUGUAGGCGGUCCGGUAAGUCGGUUGUGAAAGUCCAGGGCUCAACCCUGGGAUGCCGAUCGAUACUGCCGGACUAGAGUCCGGAAGAGGCGAGUGGAAUUCCCGGGUGUAGCGGUGAAAUGCGCAGAUAUCGGGAGGAACACCAAUGGCGAAGGCAGCUCGCUGGGACGUUACUGACGCUAAGGCGCGAAAGCGUGGGGAGCGAACAGG
rnacentral:rRNA from 1 species